AUUGAACGCUGGCGGCAUGAUUUACACAUGCAAGUCGAACGGUAACAGGCCGCAAGGUGCUGACGAGUGGCGAACGGGUGCGUAAUGCAUCGGAACGUGCCCAGUCGUGGGGGAUAACUACUCGAAAGAGUAGCUAAUACCGCAUACGAUCUAUGGAUGAAAGCGGGGGACCGUAAGGCCUCGCGCGAUUGGAGCGGCCGAUGUCAGAUUAGGUAGUUGGUGGGGUAAAGGCUCACCAAGCCAACGAUCUGUAGCUGGUCUGAGAGGACGACCAGCCACACUGGGACUGAGACACGGCCCAGACUCCUACGGGAGGCAGCAGUGGGGAAUUUUGGACAAUGGGCGCAAGCCUGAUCCAGCAAUGCCGCGUGCAGGAAGAAGGCCUUCGGGUUGUAAACUGCUUUUGUACGGAACGAAACGGCUCUGGUUAAUACCCGGGGCUAAUGACGUUACCGUAAGAAUAAGCACCGGCUAACUACGUG
rnacentral:rRNA from 1 species